AUCCAUCUGACGAGUCCCGAAUGGGACGAAACGCGCGCCCUGAAU
rnacentral:hammerhead_ribozyme from 1 species